rnacentral:lncRNA from 1 species
CCUCCGAGGCUGGCGAUCGGCGGAGCUCCCACCUCCGCUUACAGCUCGCUGCCGCCGUCCUGCCCCGCGCCCCCAGGAGACCUGGACCAGACCACGAUGUGGAAACGCUGGCUCGCGCUCGCGCUCGCGCUGGUGGCGGUCGCCUGGGUCCGCGCCGAGGCCUGUGCUACUGGGUUCCAGAAGAGCUGCCUGGGAGCAACCAGCAUCUCACCCCAUACGCCCCACUGCAGACCUCCCCCUGCUCUCCCCAGUUCUGUGAAUUCCUUUGUCCCCAGCUCCAUGGUAUUCUGUGUAUAUCUGAGGGGCCCUGGUGUUCCUGUGAAGUUUCCAUGACUAAUUCUGGCAAAGCAAAGAGAGCCUUUCUCACGUCAACAAAGCCACUCUGUCGCAGAAUAGUGGCAAGUAGAGCCAAAAUUCCACCUUGGCAUAAGUAGAGCUGUUCUUUUUUAAAAGAGUUGGAAGGAGGAAAAGAAUGGAGGGGACAGAGCCGGCCCACUUCAUGUUAGUGAAAUGAUGGUAUAUUAAACUGACAGUUUUAUG